AUUCUACUGACGAGUUCCAAAUAGUACGAAAUGCACGUCCUAGAU
rnacentral:hammerhead_ribozyme from 1 species